CCCGAAAAGAUAAAACCCAUAGGAUGCAAGUAGAUUUUCAAAAGGAAAAGAGGAGCAGAUGGAAAGGUAGAUGUUAGAUGUAUAUCCUAGAAGCCAAUAUGGCUGACACAUUGUAAUAUAUCUAGAGCAUAAUUUUAUACUUAAUAUAUUGAUAUGAUCAAUAAAAGAGGCAAGUUCUUUUUCAUUCAAAUAUAAUAUGUCCUUGAAUCAU
rnacentral:lncRNA from 1 species